AUUCUUGUAGUUGAAAUACAACGGUGAUUUUUCAUGUCAUUAGUCUUGGAUGUACCCAUGCAAGAAUU
rnacentral:tRNA from 1 species